rnacentral:rRNA from 1 species
AGUGAACGCUGGCGGUAGGCCUAACACAUGCAAGUCGAACGGCAGCACAGUAAGAGCUUGCUCUUACGGGUGGCGAGUGGCGGACGGGUGAGGAAUACAUCGGAAUCUACUUUUUCGUGGGGGAUAACGUAGGGAAACUUACGCCAAUACCGCAUACGACCUACGGGUGAAAGCAGGGGAUCUUCGGACCUUGCGCGAUUGAAUGAGCCGAUGUCGGAUUAGCUAGUUGGCGGGGUAAAGGCCCACCAAGGCGACGAUCCGUAGCUGGUCUGAGAGGAUGAUCAGCCACACUGGAACUGAGACACGGUCCAGACUCCUACGGGAGGCAGCAGUGGGGAAUAUUGGACAAUGGGCGCAAGCCUGAUCCAGCUAUACCGCGUGGGUGAAGAAGGCCUUCGGGUUGUAAAGCCCUUUUGUUGGGAAAGAAAAGCAGCAGGUUAAUACCCCGCUGUUCUGACGGUACCCAAAGAAUAAGCACCGGCUAACUUCGUG